UGUAAGCAACCUUUCACCGAUCACACCGGACUCCUACCCUAGUUAUCCCACUUCUGUAUUUUGGACUCUCAGUCUCUCUGAAACCCCCCCCAAAAACACACAGAACUAAGUGAUUCAAUACACAAAGAGUUAUUAUUUCGGUUAUAAUUUUCACAUCACUUUGCAAUAAUGAGUGGGAAACCACUUCUUGUGAACGUGGACGAAUGGAUUGCAGAGAACGAAAAGGCCUUUUUACCACCAGUGUGCAACAAACUCAUGCAUUUUUGUCAGCUGAACAUCGUGUUUGUCGGAGGUCCCAACAAAUGAUUAACACAUAGAGGAAGGGGAGGAGACCAUUCUGUAUGGGCCCGGGCAGACAGAGGUUUGUAAACGAGAAACUGAUGUCUGGUUAUGGCAGCAGGAGGGAUCCCCCCCAUGUGACUCUGGAUGGCCAAGAGUUCCCUCAGUCCACAGGAGACAGUCUACUCAUUCCGGGACAUAGCCAGUGAGUGGGAUGAUGAGUGUGGUAAUAAGAAAAGGAAAUGGAAGAUAGAGUGGAUAUGUGCAUGUUUGUGAAUUGCCCCAAUAAAUAAUGGCUUUAGAGAAAGAAUGUUGUAUUCAAGUAACACAAGAAGAAAGAGGUUGUCAAUCAUACAGUAGAUGCUAUUAUUUUGUGGUUUGCUAGAGGAAUACGUUUGAAUUUCUGUUUGUAUGAUUCUGACGCUGCCGGUACCAGUGGAGGGGAGAAUUUCCCUGUUUGUCACUCAAAACCCAGGGAGGAAACGUGCAUGACCUCUGACGAGCCCACUCUCUGCUGCGACGCACAAGGAAAAAGGAGGGUCAGCGAAAGAGAUUGCAUGUUCUUUUGCUACAGAGAGCGUGAUUGUAACCCUGAGUCAUAAAUGACGUUAAAGAUUAACACUCUGUAAGGAACUCAAAGAAAAGAUUUGGGUAGGUGUUGAGUAAAAGAGGAAGUCAAGCAAACUGUAAUAGAACAUCUUGACAAAUAAACGCAACAAUAUGAUUAACGCAACAAUAUGCUUUCGGAAUUAAACCAUUUCAUGAACACCUGAAUCAGUGUUGAUAUGUAUCCAAACUGAAUUGUACAUUUGUACAAUUUGUACAAGUGUUCAUAAAU